rnacentral:rRNA from 1 species
GGGGGGGGGGGGGGGGGGGGCGGGUGGGGGCGAGGGGGGCGAGCGGGCGGGAAGGUUGCUUCGCGGAUGUUAGGGGCGGGCGGGUGAGUAACACGUGGAUAACCUACCUGUACGCCUGGGGUAACUUCGGGAAACCGGAGCUCAUACCGGAUAGUAUUUUGAACCGCAUUGUCCAACAGUGCAAGCCGGGCCUGCGGUCCCUUAUAGAUGAAUCCGCGCUGCAUUAGCUAGUUGGUAGGGUAAAGGCUUACCAAGGCAACGAUGUGUAGCCGACCUGAGAGGACGACCAGCCACACUGGGACUGAGACACGGCCCAGACUCCUACGGGAGGCAGCAGUGGGGAAUUUUGGACAAUGGGCGCAAGCCUGAUCCAGCCAUGCCGCGUGCGGGAAGAAGGCCUUCGGGUUGUAAACCGCUUUUGUCAGGGAAGAAAACCUUUGUGUUAAUACCUCGGGGGGAUGACGGUACCUGAAGAAUAAGCACCGGCUAACUACGUG